GAUGAACGCUGGCGGCGUGGCUAAGGCAUGCAAGUCGAACGAGACCUUCGGGUCUAGUGGCAGACGGGUGAGGAACACGUGGGAACAUCCCUUUCAGUUCGGAAUAACGUUGGGAAACUAACGCUAAUACCGGAUACGUCCUUCGGGAGAAAGAUUUAUCGCUGAAAGAUUGGCCCGCGUCUGAUUAGCUAGUUGGUGAGGUAAUGGCUCACCAAGGCUACGAUCAGUAGCUGAUCUGAGAGGAUGAUCAGCCACAUUGGGACUGAGACACGGCCCAAACUCCUACGGGAGGCAGCAGUGGGGAAUAUUGGACAAUGGGCGCAAGCCUGAUCCAGCCAUGCCGCGUGAGUGAUGAAGGCCUUCGGGUUGUAAAGCUCUUUUGUCCGGGAAGAUAAUGACUGUACCGGAAGAAUAAGCCCCGGCAAACUUCGUGCCAGCCGCCGCUGUAACAC
rnacentral:rRNA from 1 species